GACGAACGCUGGCGGCGUGCUUAACACAUGCAAGUCGAACGAAGUGGCGAACGGGUGAGUAACGCGUAAUCAACCUGCCCUUCAGAGGGGGAAAACAGUGGGAAACGACUGCUAAUAACGCAUACUGAAGGAGGGGAUUGCGUUUGAUUAGAUAGUUGGGGGGGUAACGGCCCACCAAGGCGAGGAUCAGUAGCCGGUCUGAGAGGAUGAACGGCCACAUGGGGACUGAGACACGGCCCAGACUCCUACGGGAGGCAGCAGUGGGGAAUCUUCCGCAAUGGACGAAAGUCUGACGGAGCAACGCCGCGUGAGUGAUGACGGCCUUCGGGUUGUAAAGCUCUGUUAAUCGGGACGCGGUACCGGAAUAGAAAGCCACGGCUAACUACGUGCCAGCAGCCGCGGUAAUAC
rnacentral:rRNA from 1 species